AUGCUGAUUCCUAAUUGUUAUCCUCCAUCCCUCUAUCUUGUCUCCUGUUGCAAUCAUAAAUGAUGGCUGGAUGACUACUCCAUUCCUCUGGAUGUAAAAUCUACAUUCUCUUGCCUGAGGUGGAUACGUUUGCUUGGGUUCUGUUUAAGGAGAUGGGGCUAGCAGUGUGUUUCAGGGCCUGUGAAAUGUGUUCUCUAUCCGGGCUUUUGCUUAAUCUCUGUUUUCAGUCUUGCCUAUCAGUCCCACUGUCGGGGGUACCUCGUGUCUGAGUCUAGAACCUUUCCAGGUUGCUGUGGGACAGAUUAGCCUCCUUGUUCUCAGUAUCCCC
rnacentral:lncRNA from 10 species